UUAUUUCUUUUUACUUCCUCUCUUCUCCCGAUCCUGUGCCCUAGCCUUCCUCUCGCCCGAUUCCACUCCUCUCCUCCACUCUCGUUGCGACGCCAAGCCACCGUCGAACUCUUCUCCUUCAUCGAGCUCGCGCUGCCGCCCUCUCUUCUCUUCCCCCCGCCGAACCCGAUCGCCUCUCCCUCACUCAGCGUGGAGCGCCGACCCUCGUAUCAUCUUUCUCUCUAACCUAGCGCAGGUAGCCGAUCCCUCUCCGACUCCACCGCUCGACGCCACCAGUGGAUCACGUCGGCUCCGUUCAAUCCAACGACGAUGCCGACCCCCUCUGCCCUAAUCUCCACUGUCGCCUCUUCUCCCCUCUCUGUGAUGCCGCGCUGGUCGCGACCGUGGCCACCAUCGAGCCUUGCCCUAAUGCCAUUGUCAUUUUUCCCUGCCAGUUCACCACCACAACAACAUUUGGGUUUCCGUAGAGUGAGGAAGCAACAUAUCUGGAUCUAAGGUUGAAGCCGUCAGGAGGUUCCAGUUGCUAGUCCCCUUGCCACAAGGAUUUUCGCUUCGGUCUUUUGGUUUCCGUUUAUUUGCUUAGAGCUAUGUUUCAGACUUGUUCUGGUUUUGCACUUUGGAUUUUGUGUGUUUUGUCUUAAGGUAUUGUAAUGGUUGAAUUUUUGCUUGCUCGGAGGAUUUUCUAUUUGGUAUGUUUAGCUACGCGCUUGUCGGUCGACAUAAGAGGUAAGUUUGGAUGUUGUUUUCAAUUUCUUUUCAUAUGGUAAAGUCAGCUGGAGGCUGUACUUUUAUAAACUGCAUGGAAUGUUGUUUAUUUUAUGAUAUUUUGUUCCAGCUGGGUAGGUUGAGUAUA